rnacentral:lncRNA from 1 species
GUUACCAUAGAUACCAAGCAUCAUGAUCUAUCACUGUGUUACCAUGGAUACCAAGUAUCAGGGUCUAUCACUGUUACCAUAGAUACCAAGUAUCAGGGACUAUCACUGUUACCAUAGAUACCAAGUAUCAGGGUCUAUCGCUGUUACCACAGAUACCAAGUAUCGGGGUCUAUUAAUGUUACCAUAGAUACCAAGUAUCAGGGUCUAUCAUUGUUACCAUAGAUACCAAGUAUCAGGGUCUAUCGCUGUUACCACAGAUACCAAGUAUCGGGGUCUAUUAAUGUUACCAUAGAUACCAAGUAUCAGGGUCUAUCACUGUUACCAUAUAUACCAAGUAUCAGGGUCUAUCACUGUUACCAUAUAUACCAAGUAUCAGGGUCUAUCACUGUUACCAUAUAUACCAAGUAUCAGGGUCUAUCACUGUUACCAUAGAUACCAAGUAUCAUGAUCUAUUACUGUGUUACCAUAGAUACCAAGUAUCAGGGUCUACUACUGUUUCCAUAGAUACCAAGUAUCAGGGUCUAUUACUGUUUCCAUAGAUACCAAGUAUCAGGGUCGAUUACUGUGACCAUAGAUACCAAGUAUCAGGGUCUAUCACUGUUACCAUAUAUACCAAGUAUCAGGGUCUAUCACUGUUACCAUAUAUACCAAGUAUCAGGGUCUAUCACUGUUACCAUAGAUACCAAGUAUCAGGGACUAUCAUUGUUACCAUAGAUACCAAGUAUCAGGGUCCAUCACUGUUACCAUAGAUACCAAGUAUCAUGAUCUAUUACUGUGUUACCAUGGAUACCAAGUAUCAGGGUCUAUUACUGUUUUCAUAGAUUCCAAGUAUCAGGGUCUAUUACUGUUACCAUAGAUACCAAGUAUCAGGGUCUAUCACUGUUACCAUAGAUACCAAGUGUCUGAGCUCUCUGUAUUACCUAUUACCAAGCAUCAGGGUCUUUUUCCAUGUUGCCACAGUUACUAAGUAUCAGGGCAUUUGAUGAUGUUACCAUUGACAUUUCGAUUCUAUGGAAAUACACUAUUGCAGCUCUAUCCAAUGUUACCACGGAUAUCAACUGUUGGGUCCCUUAUACCAACCAUAUUUUGCCAUCUCCAAUUUUCAAGUUCCCAUGAAAAUUACCUAUACAUGUAUAGGUACCAAUGGCCCUUCCCAUCUCCUACAUUACCUAUCCUAUUCAGUCAUAUACAUGUAUCAAAUACAUUUGAAAUCGAAGGCAGUAAAAUAACAUUAAAUACCAAAUGUCACUGUUGUUGCAAUGCUACCAACUAUAACCAUGGUGAUCAUAGAUAUAUAAAGUGAAGCAACCAGAAACUGACAAUUAGGUGACAUUUUAUACGGCAUACAGUUAACCUGUAUAGGUCUACAUUACUAACAGUGAACAAUCUUUGGAAUUAAAGUGUUUUCAUUAGAACACUGAAUCAAAUAGCAUGAUGUAAUCUGGAGAACAAUUAAUAUAUUACACAGACAAAUAUAACAUGUAUCGUACACAAAACAACGUCACACCAACAGCUAAUAGUACAAGUGAAAACAAUUUUAAAUAUUCUGGAGUAGAGGUGGCAUCUACAAUUGACAUUUGUACGGAGUCCACCACAGGUAAACUCUGUUUGGAUUAUUGCUAACAAUUUUACAGCAAUAAGACUGGUGUGAAUCACCGCUACUUUAUAUCACCAUGGCAACCUCUCGCACACAGUCACACACCUACAAGCACACUCCCACAGCCUGAUUUAUAUUACUUCCCAUGGUCAUCUUACGCACUAGCACACACACAGUCAAACAGACUGGUAAACACUACCAGCCAUUACUAAAACAUCUUUCAAUUAAAUAUUAGAAGAAGGGGGAAAAUGAACUGUUAUACACAAUGACCUUUAUAUUGAAUUUGUUGAAAAAAGUGCAUGAAAUAUUCUAAAGGUGAAUAAAGAUCACUUUAAAGUGGGAUAAUAAUGGGAAGGUACGAAUAAGAAUCACCCACUUACUACAUGUAGUAUGCUAGAACUAAAUGUUCACCAUUUUCACAGCAUUAUCUAACAUAUCAACCAAUCAGAAUCCACAUACAGCAAUGAGUCCUGAUUGGCUACAGCCAACAGGUCAAAGUUUAAAGGCUUGAUACGAUUCCUGAUUGGCUAGUCAAAAGGUCAAAGAUUAAAAGCUCGAGUUAAUGUGGAAGUUUCUGGGGUUUUGUUUUUACCACAUGUCUAAGAAGAUGAAUACCACUGCACAAUUUGCAUUUUACAAAUAUUACUAGAACUAUUUACAUAGGAAGCACAGGGUCCUGUUACGUUUAUUACCAGCCCAUAUAUUAUGGACAAAUACACCAUCAUUUGGUGAGCUUUAUUUUUUUGAAGCUGACAUUAAGGUCCCAAUAACUUCUUAUCAAACAUAACAGGCACCUGUAAGUUUAAGCUAAAAGUUGUAUUUCCUUUAUAUACAUUUACAUACAAAUAACAUUUUAUCAGGAAUGUCCAAUCUACCGUAUUAAUACCUAUAUAUAGGAGCGCUUUAAACAUGAAUAAAUGGCAUUCCUACAGGUGAAGUCUCAUGCAUAACAUUAAUAACUCCUUCAAUAAAUUUAACCCCGUCCCACCUUAAUUCAGCCAUAUCCAUUUCCUGCUGAAGUCGCUGGAUGAUUGGGAUAAUUACAAACAGGGGAAAAAUUGUAGCUGAAAAACACUGACCUGAUAGUGGGACGACCAGUUUGGUAAUUUAGUUAUGACUGGAUUAACGAUGCCUGCAUUCUAUGUUUUAUGUCGCUGAAGUUUACAAGCCUUGUUUCCAAUUCAAUAUAUAAUUCAAAUCUAUAAGAUGGGGAGAUUUGUUAAUUUUUAUCAUAAAUAACUACAUAUUUAACUCUACAACAUUAGCUUUAAGAAUUAAAUGAGAAAAGUAUUGCAAAGGGCAUGAAAAACAUCUGAUUGAUUGCUUGGUAUUGUUUUCUCCUGAAUAUCUCAGGUUUAGAAUCAAGAUUGUGACCUGAUCCGUUGAAGAAGAAGCUUUGUGUAUGAUGACUAUGUCCCAUGUUGACAGAGACAAGUGUAACCCCUGUCAUGACUUCUGUCUAGAAUAGUUCAAAAUAUGAGAAUCUUAUUACAAGUUAUAAUAAUUAUAAAAGACUUUAUUUCAGGGCGAUAACAAGUUGAUCGACAGUAAAAUGUACAAUAUUUACAACAGUGUGGUAAAGAGAAAUCUAAGACAGGAGUUGAAAUUUCUCCAUCCCACAGCUACUUGUAUAAUCACUCUAGUUUUUCUCACAUCGCUACAUAACUACACUAUUACCCUAAAAGUACUUCUGUCUCUCUGUGUCUUGUCUGUAUGGGACAUAACAGUACUGUGUCUCUCUGUAUGUAAGAUCUCAACACUAAAUUAUCCAAAUCCAUGGCAAGACAAAUCUCAAACGGGGUAAAAGUCAGGAUUACUCUAGAUCGGACGCAGAUGUGAGAACAAAAUAUAUACCAUCUUCACAGGUGUAAAAACAAAUAAAUUUUCUUUUGAAAAACAAUUUUAAAUUGGAUUGCCCUGACAUUAACAAAGAGAUGCAUUAAUUUUCUCAAAUCUUUUCUAUACAGUGUAUGUAUAUUCAUUUGUAAUACUCCCACCUUAACAACUUUACAGUAAUAAUUUGACGUAUAAUACACUAACACCAAGUAUUGUGGCAAUACGUCAUACAUGCAUUCUCACCAAAGCCUUUAUCUAGCUUUCAACAUGUAAACCUUCAUACAGAAAUACAAUAAAGACACACGCAAACAUCCCUUGUAUACUUCAAAGAGCUGCUCAUGCCAUCUACAGGUUAAGUGAGAAUAUAUUUCAUCCUCCCAGCACGUUAUUGGCUGAUAAAACGACAGGAUGUAUGAUGACAAAACCUGCAACGUUUAGGUCAGUUUUAUCCUCUCCCUUGCCUGCCCCCAGCAACACCUACCCAUGCACACAGAGACAUAAGAGCUAUUGAAAUAAAAACCUUAACGUAAAACUUACACCACAGACAAAUGUGUUAACAUGGGGCAAAUGUGUAGCAGGUAAUUUUUGCCUUUCAUUAUCAGCUUCAGCAGCUACAUUUUUUUUUAAAAGAAGCUGGCACAUAUGUAUAUUGAACAAAAUUAUAUAAAUUAUACAGGAACUUAUUAUUCAGUGCCAUAUACAUCUAUUGCACGGCCACAUAAUAACACAUGUUGAAGGACUUUGUACAGGUAUUUCUAGCAUGUAUACCCUCAAAAAGAAUGAAUGACAGGAAUAUCGUCAACUAGCUAGCAUACUUACAUAUGAAUGAAUUACCUUUUUUUUUGUCACAUUUAUUCUGGGAACAUUUGCAAAUGAAUUUUAUGAACAUGACUUCUUGUCAGCCUCGCUCUAAAUACCAGUACCCUCAAACGACUCACACCGAGAGGCAAGGUUAUCUGAAAUUUGCCGAAAUAGGGACAGAUCGUAAAUUCAUCAAAGGUUCAAGGUUUUCAAUAAUGAAUUAUAAAUGACAAUGAAAAAUUUAAUAUCAAAGAUCGCGCAAUUUGUUCUCAUUUAAGAGAUAAUUAAAAUUAUAAGGUUCCCAAGAUAUUGUCAUAAAAUGGUUAAAAUGUGAGAGAAAAUUCAAAUCUCAACCUACCAAAGUUAGAAGUUUACGGAAUGUGGCCAAACAUUUCAUACACUUUAUAAUAAUCUAAUUUCCCGUAAUUUUUCCACUGCAUAGUCAUAAUGCACUAAAGCUUACAUUCUAGAUAAAUGUUCCUGUGUAGACAGGCUGUAGCCUUAAAGCAUAGAAAUCAGUCCUGAUGCUACUAAAAUGUAACACUGUAUUCGACACAUUAUAACUCUCCAGAGAGAACACACUAUAUGUACAGUCAACCUUUAUUCAGAACAAUCAGUGAUGCCCUAGACCAUUUCACAUUGAAUACAGGACUGUAACAAUUGACUGGCAAAUCCAAAAUGCGAAUGUCAGCUUUGAUAACUCCAAAUUAUAUAUUACCAUAAUUACCGUAAUAAGUGCCAACAGCAACUAGAAUGGUAUUUCAUGUCAUUAACAAAACUGCUGAAAAUAUACAUUUUCUCUGUCAGAGUGAAAAAAAAG